CUGUCAGACUCGGAGUGUGAAUUUGUUUGGAAGCUCUUCAGGGAGCAAUAACUUUGGAAUCGUUUCAUGCUUGAGAGGCUUCCCUUGUCCAAAAAGUAAGUUAGAACAAUAUCAGAUAUUAUCUGGAUACUGUUGAUGAAGAAGAAUAAAAGAUGACAUACAUCAAAAAACAUCAUUCGGGUUUCUUGUCAUUCCUCGUGUGGUACAAGUGAAGA